CCUACGGGCGGCAGCAGUAGGGAAUAUUGCUCAAUGGGGGAAACUCUGAAGCAGCAACGCCGCGUGGAGGAUGAAGGUUUUCGGAUUGUAAACUCCUUUUGUUAGAGAAGAUAAUGACGGUAUCUAACGAAUAAGAACCGGCUAACUCCGUGCCAGCAGCCGCGGUAAUACGGAGGGUGCAAGCGUUACUCGGAAUCACCGGGCGUAAAGAGGGCGUAGGGGGGAUAGCAAGUCAGAUGUGAAAUCCUAUGGCUUAACCAUAGAACUGCAUGUGAAACUGUUAUUCUAGAGUAUGGGAGAGGUAGGUGGAAUUCUUGGUGUAGCGGUAAAAUCCGUAGAGAUCAAGAGGAAUACUCAGUGCGAAGGCGACCUGCUAGAACAUAACUGACGCUGAUGCGUGAAAGCGUGGGGAGCAAACAGGAUUAGAUACCCGUGUAGUC
rnacentral:rRNA from 1 species